UACGUAGGGGGCGAGCGUUGUCCGGAUUUAUUGGGUUUAAAGGGUGCGUAGGCGGCUUUGUAAGUCAGUGGUGAAAUACGGUAGCUUAACUAUCGAGGUGCCAUUGAUACUGCGAGGCUUGAGUACAGAUGAGGUAGGCGGAAUUGACGGUGUAGCGGUGAAAUGCUUAGAUAUCGUCAAGAACACCUAUAGCGAAGGCAGCUUACUAGGCUGUAACUGACGCUGAGGCACGAAAGUGUGGGGAUCAAACAGG
rnacentral:rRNA from 1 species